UUCUUCGAUUUCACUCUGACCUCACUUCGGAAAGAAAAACGAAAGCCUAGAAUUAUUUUUUAAGAUGAUGACGAAGGAUGGAAAAGCCUGGAUUGAAGAUGAUGACCAAGGAUGAAUAAUCCAUGAUCAACACAGUGGAGAAAUUGAUAAGUCAAACAAGAAGAUGAAUAAUCGGAAGAGAAUUGAAGAAGAAGAAGAAGAUGAAAGAAAAACCCCAAGAGUUUUGUGUCUACAUGGGUUUAGAACAAGUGGUGAGAUCUCAAAGGAACAAGUGCUUACAAAAUGGCCAGAAUCAGUAGUUAAGAAACUGCAUCUUGUUUUUAUUGAUGCUCCUUUUCCAAGUCAAGGAAAAUCUGAUGUCGAAGUGUUUUAUGAUCCUCCUUACUAUGAAUGGUAUCAAUUUGAAAAACUAAGUUAAAAGGUCUGAUUGUUUCGAUUCUUAAUCUGGAUUUUAUUUCUAAAUUGUCUGUAUUUGAAUUUUAGGGAACUACAGAGUAUAGGAAUUUUUGAUGAAUGUCUUGAAUAUGUUGAAGAUAUAAUGAUAAAGCAAGGUUCUUUUGAUGGCUUACUUGGUUUCUCUCAAGGUGGAAAGUUUUUCUGCAGGUUUGCCAUACCUUGACCAUUAUGUGGCAAAUGAGCUUCAAUUUUGGACGCUCUCUGGACUUUUCACGUUUCUUUUUUCCUUGCAAUUCAUCGAGAAGUGCGCUUGUUCAUUAAAUUUCAUUUUUCUUACUCUAACAAAAAUUUGAAUUUUCUUUUUCUUACUCUUAUAUUAUGAAGUCUGCUUGUUUAUUAAAUUUCAAUUUUCGUUUGUAUAUGUUAUUAAUUCAGUUAUUCAACUUAUUCUCCUUUUCUAGAUUCGGGUUUAUGGAUUUAUCAAAUUCAAGGUCUUCUCUCCUGCCUGCUUUGAAAGUUCAUAUUCGUAUUUUAGUAAUAUAUGAUCGGUAUGAGAAAUUUCUUGUCUGCAAUUGAUUUAUAUGAUAAAAAAUUACAAGGGCAAUCCCAUUGAAAGGUAUAAUUACAGCUUUCUUUCUUUUUUUCCCUUCGUCAUGAUCCUCAUGAGUGUAUUUACUAGUAGUACUACCACUAGAUCAAGUUUGUAUUAGGGGUGUGGUGCAGUGGUGGACAGAUGACAAACUUAAUUGUUGCUAGGUAUCAUCACUUUUAGGGAAACAAAAAUUGAAUUCUGUUGUUUCAUCUGUUGAAUGCUCUAUUUGUUCUUGUCUUCCUAUUGUAGUCCGUAAAUUGUAAGGUCCUUUUCCAUUUAAGAUGUUCCAAAAUGUUAACUUCCAUCAAGGAAUAGUGUUCUGUGUAACCUGAAAUAUGGAACUACACAUGCUGCACUCCGUAACUUGAAAUAUGGAACUACAGAUGUUGGGCUCGUAACUUGAAAUAUGGAACUACACAUGACGGCUGUGUAACUGAUAAAACAUGAUGUAUCUUAUCGUAGUUUAUAGAUAGUUGGCGACAAUUAUCAGCAUAAACAUCAGUCGAUUUUCUUUUGUAUAUGACUGCUGUUACUGUUCUUAGAAGAAGAGAGUCCUUUUUUCCUGGCUAAUAAAAUCAAACCCAGGCAAUUCUAUGUUUCAUGCAGAUUUGGUUUCGAGGUAUGGGGAGUUAGAACUCAAGAUACUGAGUACAUUUCUAAUUGCUUAAUCAGCAAUAAUGGUGAAAAUGCUGAGCUCCUGUAAUUCCUGAAAUUUUGGGGUUGAGAAAUUUCAUGGUUCUGUCGUCCAUACUACAGUAGAAUCGAAAAGUCAAGCCAAUUUAAAGAAAAGGGUUUGAAAGAUGCUGAUCUCUUGCGGAGUUUAUUCAAUAGAAAGUUCUCUCCCGAAGAUGAUACAGACAGGCCUGAGAGAACAGAAUCUAACGAUCAAAAGAUUAGGAUUAAAUCAUUUUUGACUAAAUUGGGUUGUUAUUUACCCAGUCUAUGUAGAUCAGUGUAGUUCUAACAUUUUUGUUAUAGCCGAUCACUUGUUUCUUUCU